rnacentral:rRNA from 1 species
UGGGGAAUCUUGCGCAAUGGGCGAAAGCCUGACGCAGCGACGCCGCGUGCGGGAAGAAGGCCUUCGGGUUGUAAACCGCUUUUGUCAGGGAAGAAACGCUCUGGGCUAAUACCUCGGGGUAAUGACGGUACCUGAAGAAUAAGCACCGGCUAACUACGUGCCAGCAGCCGCGGUAAUACGUAGGGUGCAAGCGUUAAUCGGAAUUACUGGGCGUAAAGCGUGCGCAGGCGGUUGUGCAAGACAGAUGUGAAAUCCCCGGGCUUAACCUGGGAACUGCAUUUGUGACUGUACGGCUGGAGUGCGGCAGAGGGGGAUGGAAUUCCGCGUGUAGCAGUGAAAUGCGUAGAUAUGCGGAGGAACACCGAUGGCGAAGGCAAUCCCCUGGGCCUGCACUGACGCUCAUGCACGAAAGCGUGGGGAGCAAA